UGACAUAUCCCGUGUCUCUGCAGGGUGACUUCUCAGCUGGACACUCUGCUGGGCCACUUGUCCCAGGCCAUGCUGCAAGAAGGCCACCGCUUGAAAGCUUGGGGUUUCCUGGACACUGGCACAGGGGCGGAGCUGCUACAGGCGGCCUCGGCAGGUCCUCAAAAAGGUGCUGAGGACAUCAUUGUGAAUCCUGUCACCAAGUUGAUGGUCCCUGGACCCAGCUGUAUGAUGAUACUCCCAACAAGUGGCCACAUAGCACCCAUACCCCCCAGCUACUUCGUCCACCCUGACACUGGGCACGUGCUGCCUGAGGCUGGACACCUAGGAUAUGAUCUGCUGAGCUCAGCGCUGAUACCCAUUACUGACACUAAUGCUGGUGACGUCCGAACAUCAGAGGUCACCGUUCUCCCCUACAUGCCCUAUCCAACGAGUCCUGUCACAGGUUGCCCUCCAGACACUCACCUGCCCAUCUUACAGCCAAGAAGAACAUCACAGCUGGGGGCUCUCAUGUCUGACCCCAUCACAGGCAUGGAGGUGCCUGUGCUUGCUGUGACUCUGCACCCCCAAACCAGGCAGUGGCUCACUCUCGGAGGGACAUACUGCAAUCCUCUCACCAAGACGAUGGCCCCUUUGGAGUUGGGGGGCCCCAUGAAGGACCCAGUCACAGGAGGCAUCGUGCCAAUCCUAGGCGUUGGGCUGGAUGAACACACAGGUCUCCUGGAAACUGUCAGCACCUUCUACUCUGUUGCCCCUGCCUGGCUUAGCUGCCCAACUUCUCCCAGCCUCCCAUCUUCUUCAUGCUCUGGCCAAGCUAGAAACGAUACCCCGUCCUCUCUUUCCACUCCGAACUUCCCUCUUCUUCGAAGUUUCCCUCUCCUCCUCUCCACCUCUAUCACUGUUCCCCCAAGGUCAUUUUACAGUAGAGGUAAACCCAAGAGGGCAGGCAGCUCCUGCUGUCAGUGCCAUGGCCUCCCGUUUUUCUUGUCCUUGGUGAUGCUGUGGCCCUGCCCUGCCUUCCUUCUUCCUGAUGCCUUGCAUGUUUUUACCACCUCGGGUCUCUUUCCCACCUAACCCUCUAGGUGUCUUGCUUCCAGGUC
rnacentral:lncRNA from 14 species